rnacentral:rRNA from 1 species
AGCAGCCGCGGUAAUUCCAGCUCCAAUAGCGUAUAUUAAAGUUGUUGCAGUUAAAAAGCUCGUAGUUGAAUUUCGGGAUCAAUAUUUCGGUCAUGCCGUUGGUAUGCACUGUUAUCAUUGAUUUCUCACCUUCUAAAGAACCGUAAUGCCAUUAAUUUGGUGUUACGGGGAAUUAGGACUGUUACCUUGAAAAAUUAGAGUGUUUAAAGCAGGCUCACGCUUGGAUACAUUAGCAUGGAAUAAUGAAAUAGGACGUUUGAUUCUAUUUUGUUGGUUUCUAGGACCGACGUAAUGAUUAAUAGGGAUAGUUGGGGGCAUUAGUAUUCAAUUGUCAGAGGUGAAAUUCUUGGAUUUAUUGAAGCUAACUACUGCGAAAGCAUUUGCCAAGGAUGUUUUCAUUAAUCAAGA